rnacentral:rRNA from 1 species
AUUGAACGCUGGCGGCAGGCUUAACACAUGCAAGUCGAACGAGUGGCGGACGGGAGAGUAAUGCUUGGGAAUCUAGCUUAUGGAGGGGGAUAACUACGGGAAACCGUAGCUAAUACCGCGUACCAUAGGAUGAGCCCAAGCGGGAUUAGGUGGGUGGUGUGGUAAAGGCGCACCAAGCCGACGAGCUCUAGCUGGUCUGAGAGGAUGACCAGCCACACUGAGACUGAGACACAGCACAGACUCCUCCGGUAGGAAGCAGUGGGGAAUAUUGCGCAAUGGGGGCAACCUAACGGAGCCAUGCCGGGUGAAUGAAGAAGGCCUUCGGGUUGUAAAGUUAUUUCGGUAGCGAGGCGUUAACUACAGAAGAAGCACCGGCUAACUCCGUGCCAGCAGCCGAGGUAAUUC